UCUAGUCGUCUAUGUCCCAACCAAAGGUCGUCCAUACGAAAUUUGGCAUAAACAGUUUGGCGCCGUCUGUGGGGAGAUGGCUAGAUUUAUCUUCAAACACAUAUCCACAAAUAUCCUCCCAAACACAAUAUUCGACCCACUUGGGCUCACCAAUAAAGUUACCGCCAGGCGAGGGAUUGUUGUCAUACUGUGUCGCCACCAUGAGAUGGAGCUGCGUCAGGGCACAUGUCGUCGACAUGAUAGGUGUCGUCGACGGGUCAGGUGUCGUCGCGGGUCAGGUGUCGUCGGCGGGUCAGGUGUCGGCGACAGGUUAGGUGUCGUCGACGGGUCAGGUGUCGUCGACGGGUCAGGCGUCGUCGACGGGUCAGGCGUCGUCGACGGGUCAGGUGUCGCCGACGGGUCAGGUGUCGCCGACGGGUCAGGUGUCAUCGACGGGUCAGGUGUCGUCGACGGUCAGGCGUCGUCGACGGGUCAAGUGUCGUCAGCAGGUCAGGUGUCGUCGCCAGGCUCGUUGGUCGAUGGAAUAUGGUAUGACAUCAGGGUACAUGUCGUCGCCAGAUCAGGUGUCGACAUCAGCAGGUGUCAUCGCUAGAAGUGACGCGUUGCAGUGGUCGAAUUCAACCUAGAUGAUGCAUAUCGUGACAACAACGACACCAACGCUUGAUGACAUCGAAAAUAGGUACUAAUAUUUAUAAUAUUCAACUCUAAUCGUUUGGCCUCGUUUUCGAAUACGUGACAGGUUUUGGUCUAGACGUCACGGACCGUCAUGCAGAUGUCGCCACAAACAAGAUACAAUAUGAGUUGUCUCAUACCUUGACAAGAUCUCGAGACGAUUUGAUCACUUGACGCCGCGAAAAGUAUGGUAUAAAACUCAACCCCAGUGAUUUUGAUUUAAGCUAAUAUUGUUUCUAGUCUUUGUUGUCACUAAAACAGAUGCGAACACGUGACGUCAUCCACCAAUGACAUGACAUCAACAUAGUUUCGUCUAACGUCACCUCCAUAUCAGUCGACGACGUCUCCACAAACGAAGGCGACAAAUGGAGAUUCAACAACAAAUUGUCGGCAAUACUAGAUUUUGUGGCUAACUUCAGUCCAAGUAUCAAAUAGGAGAAUUUGUAGUUGUCUUGAAGUCGUCACAGGGGAGCAUAUAGUAUACUCUAUCUCAUUUAAUUUUCAUAUAGUAUACUUUACUUGAUUUGCUUUUUAUAUAGUAUACUUUGCUUGUUUUAAUUUCCAAAAGCACUUUGAAAUAUAUGCUAUACGUUGUUAUCCCACUUUUUGUACUAACGUCGUCACCACUUGUCGUUUGAUCAUGUCGUGUCGCCAAGUAUUGUCUUGUCUACAGGUACUGACGUGUCACUUGGCAAGGUCGUGAGUAAAGCAGGCGACCAACGUUAGAAGGCCGUGAGAAUAUAAUGUUAGCCAGGUACAUGACAUCGGGGGCUCAACAUCAAAUGACUAUUCACACAACCGGACCCAAAAAACAUAACACCUCAAAGUGACUUCCCACAUCAACAUUGCCAAGCCUACAACACAAUCACCUCUCGAAAAAUUAACCUUUCGCCAUCACACUUUCCAUGUCAUCAUAUUUUCACCCCACACCAACAUCAAACCACUUGACAUCAUAAACGCAACGACGUGUCCUUUUCCCAUGUCCUCAUCACCAAGUUCUUCAUCAGCACAUCAUAACGCGUUGUUACGACAACAUGUCACGACAGCAGGACGCGAUCAGCCACACAAGAAGAUAAGAAAUCAUUUGGCAUCAAGUAUGACACAUAGAAAUAAAUAUCUAACAUUUUUUAAUUUCUUUGGUGAUAGUGUUACACGAGGUCACGACACGACACGAGGUCACGACGGCACAACAUGACGCCACGGCAGCAAGUCACGACAGCAGGACACGACCAUUCCGGUUACCCCCAUGACGACAAGAAGUUUCUUGUCGUUAA